rnacentral:rRNA from 1 species
AUUGAACGCUGGCGGCAGGCCUAACACAUGCAAGUCGAACGAGUGGCGGACGGGUGAGUAAUGUCUGGGAAACUGCCCGAUGGAGGGGGAUAACUACUGGAAACGGUAGCUAAUACCGCAUACCAUCGGAUGUGCCCAGAUGGGAUUAGCUAGUGGGUGGGGUAACGGCUCACCUAGGCGACGAUCCCGAGCUGGUCUGAGAGGAUGACCAGCCACCCUGCAACUGAGCCACGGUCCAGACUACUACGGGAGGCAGGAGUGGGGAAUAUUGCACAAUGGGAGCAAGCCUGAUGCAGCCAUGCCGCGUGUAUGAAGAAGGCAUUCGGGUUGUAAAGUACUUUCAGCGAGGAGGCGUUACUCGCAGAAGAAGCACCGGCUAACUCCGUGCCAGCAGCCGCGGUAAUUC